AUUGAACGCUGGCGGCAGGCCUAACACAUGCAAGUCGAGCGGAUGAAGGGAGCUUGCUCCUGGAUUCAGCGGCGGACGGGUGAGUAAUGCCUAGGAAUCUGCCUGGUAGUGGGGGAUAACGUCCGGAAACGGGCGCUAAUACCGCAUACGUCCUGAGGGAGAAAGUGGGGGAUCUUCGGACCUCACGCUAUCAGAUGAGCCUAGGUCGGAUUAGCUAGUUGGUGGGGUAAAGGCCUACCAAGGCGACGAUCCGUAACUGGUCUGAGAGGAUGAUCAGUCACACUGGAACUGAGACACGGUCCAGACUCCUACGGGGGGCAGCAGUGGGGAAUAUUGGACAAUGGGCGAAAGCCUGAUCCAGCCAUGCCGCGUGUGUGAAGAAGGUCUUCGGAUUGUAAAGCACUUUAAGUUGGGAGGAAGGGCAGUAAGUUAAUACCUUGCUGUUCUGACGUUACCAACAGAAUAAGCACCGGCUAACUUCGUG
rnacentral:rRNA from 1 species